GACGAACGCUGGCGGCGUGCUUAACACAUGCAAGUCGAACGGAAAGGCCCUGCUUUUGUGGGGUGCUCGAGUGGCGAACGGGUGAGUAACACGUGAGUAACCUGCCCUUGCCUUUGGGAUAACUUCAGGAAACUGGGGAUAAUACCGGAUAGGAGCUCCUGCUGCAUGGUGGGGGUUGGAAAGUUUCGGCGGUUGGGGAUGGACUCGCGGCUUAUCAGCUUGUUGGUGGGGUAGUGGCUUACCAAGGCUUUGACGGGUAGCCGGCCUGAGAGGGUGACCGGCCACAUUGGGACUGAGGUACGGCCCAGACUCCUACGGGAGGCAGCAGUGGGGAAUAAUGCACAAUGGGAGGAAGCCUGAUGCAGCAACGCCGCGUGCGGGAUGACGGCCUUCGGGUUGUAAACCGCUUUCGCCUGUGACGAAGCGUGAGUGACGGUAAUGGGUAAAGAAGCACCGGCUAACUACGUG
rnacentral:rRNA from 1 species